GGAACGUUUAGGGGGUAAACCUGAGAAACCCGAAAGGUCGAAGGGAGAAAUUCANUCGCGUUUCGUCGACRACGUUAAGCGAGAUUGAGCGACGGAAAAAUGUUUCGAUGUUUUUUCGCACCGCUCGUUUAUCGAUUCGASRACRAACGCGUGCACUUUUCUCCUGGUAGGACGUCGCGAUCCGUUGGGUGUCGAUUUAUUUAAAACGAACGGUGGAGCCCGAACGUACRAUUUAAACNUCGUUUUACGUUCGGACCCGUUCGUAAAUUUCGACUCGCUCGACGGUAUACRAAAGGUUUAAGGUCGCGCUCGAAUAAACGCUCCGGUAUUUACGUGCCGGUGCGUACGCKUUMGACUCACGACAAGCGCGCCAGAUGUCGUCGGUAAAAUUUAACGGACUUAGUGUGCCGAUACCGACUCCUGGUGACUGUUGGUCGUGAAGUAUAUAUAUAUCUCGAACAGACCUUUUUUUAUAAAAACCGAUCUGCGACGCUAUAGCUUUGGGUACUUUCAGGACCCGUCUUGAAACACGGACCAAGGAUCUUAGCAUGUGCGNGANUCAUUGGGAUUUUCAUUAAACCUAAAGGCGCAAUGAAAGUAAAAGUUCGUUUUAUACACGAACUUAGGGAAGAUGAACGGUGAUUUUUACAUAUGUAACGCCGAUCCGCAUUCCCGGGGCGUCUCAUUCUCAUUGCGAGAGGAGGCGCACCAAGAGCGUACACGCUGGGACCCGAAAGAUGGUGAACUAUGCCUGGUCAGGACGAAGUCAGGGGAAACCCUGAUGGAGGUCCGUAGCGAUUCUGACGUGCAAAUCGAUCGUCGGAACUGGG
rnacentral:rRNA from 1 species